UUCAUUUGCUUCCCUGUACCUCCCAGAGGUCAAUACCCAACUUAAAUAAUACCUACACCUCUCCCAUCUGAUAUCCUCUUCUCCUCUGGCAACACCUCACCACCAUUAAUGAACAAAGAGUCCAAGAAAGGAAAAAAAUUACACUUAAGGAUCAACUCCUGAGAGUACAGCUAUUUAAAUACACUGCUGAAAUCAACUAAAAUUGUACAAAAUUAAUGUUUCUUUUUUGCUUCUCUCUCACUGAGAUGAAGCCUUCCCUUGUGUACAAAAGGAGAAGAUAUUAAUUUUUGGAUGGUGCCGUAUUUAAGAACAGAAUUCAGAAGGUGCAUUAACGUCAGAAAUUCACCAAGAGUUUUGUUUAGAAGGUCCCCUCUAACAGGGUGGGUAAAGUCUGAAAUUGAACCUGGCUGAAGUUGAAAUCAGAGCCUGACUGACAGAACCCUAGAGACUUCUCCACAGCAUAUUCACCAGCAGCAACAUGAACCACUGCUAUCACCAGGACUUUCAAAAUCAAUUUUACCACCUUCCCAAGAACAAGUUUUCUCGCUCUGGAAAAUUAAUUUUAAGACAAUGAAUAAAGCUGCAUAA